UCUAUAAGCCGCUUAAAAAUUACCCUCUAACCGAAGAGUGUUAGAUAGCGUCGAAGGACAAGAAGACCCUAUAGAGCUUAAUUUAAAUAAAUAUAAAAAAUUUACUAAAAUUCGGUUGGGGCGACCAGGGAAUUACCCAUCAUCCCUAAGCAAAAGAUAAAUAUAUCAAAAUACUGACCCUUCUACAAGAUCAUUAAAACAAGCUACCUUAGGGAUAACAGGCUAAUCUCACUAGAGAGUCCUUAUCAAUAGUGGGGAUUGGCACCUCGAUGUUGGCUUAGGGAAUCUCUAUAACGCAAAAGUUAUAUAAAGAUGGUUUGUUCAACCAAUAACACCCUACAUGAGCUGAGUUCAGACCGGCGUAAGCCAGGUUAGUUUCUAUCCUCGAUCACUCUAUCUAUUUAUAGUACGAAAGGACCUAUUUAGAGUAAUAUUUACAUACAGGGAAUAAAUAUAAACCAUUCUAAAUAAAAUAAUUCAUAAUCUAUGAGUAAGUUGGCAGAAUAUUGCCACC
rnacentral:rRNA from 1 species